UACGUAGGUGACAAGCGUUGUCCGGAUUUACUGGGCGUAAAGAGCGCGCAGGCGGUCGAUCAAGUCGAGUGUGAAAGCCCCCGGCUCAACUGGGGAGGGUCAUUCGAUACUGAUCGACUCGAAGGCAGGAGAGGGUAGUGGAAUUUCCGGUGUAGUGGUGAAAUGCGUAGAGAUCAGGAAGAACAUCGGUGGCGAAGGCGCUCUGCUGGACCAUAACUGACACUCAGGGACGAAAGCUAGGGGAGCGAAUGGG
rnacentral:rRNA from 1 species